rnacentral:rRNA from 1 species
AGUGAACGCUGGCGGCGUGCCUAAUACAUGCAAGUCGAACGGAGUGGCGCACGGGUGAGUAAUAUAUAGCUAAUCUGCCCCUUGCUGGAGGACAACAGUUAGAAAUGACUGCUAAUACUCCAUAGAAAGGGAUGAGACUUUAUCGUAUCAGCUAGUCGGUGGGGUAACGGCCUACCGAGGCGAUGACGCGUAACUGGUCUGAGAGGAUGAGCAGUCAAAUUGGAACGGAGACACGGGCCAAACUCCUACGGGAGGGAGCAGUAGGGAAUAGCGCGCAAUGGGGGAAACCCUGACGCAGCAAAGCCGCGUGGAGGAGGACAAUUUUCGGAGCGUAAACUCAUGUUGUUAGGGAAGCGGUACCUAACGAAGAAGCACCGGCUAACUCCGUGCCAGCAGCCGCGGUAAUAC